rnacentral:tRNA from 1 species
UCCCCAAAAGCUUAGUUGGUAAAGAAUCUGCCUGCAAUUCAGGAGACCCUGGUUCAAUUCCUGGGUAUGGAA